rnacentral:rRNA from 1 species
UACAGAGGUGGCAAGCGUUGCUCGGUAUCACUGGGCUUAAAGGGCGCGUAGGCGGUGCGGUACGGUUUCGGUGAAAUCCCUCGGCCCAACCGAGGAACAGCCGGAGCUACGGCCGGACUAGACGGCAUCAGGGGACAGUGGAACUCCCGGUGGAGCGGUGAAAUGCGUAGAUAUCGGGAGGAACACCUAUAGCGAAGGCAGCUUGCUGGGACGUUACUGACGCUAAGGCGCGAAAGCGUGGGGAGCGAACAGG